CCAGGUUGCUCCAAGCCCCGUCCAACCUGCCCUUGGACACUUCCAGGGAUGGAGUUACAACUUCUGUACCUGUAGAAGUUUGACUUACACACAGCCCCUGUAACAGACUCUGCUCAAUCACUCAGACCUUUCAGGGGAAGAGUUAUGCAAUGGUUAUUGUGUGAAAACAAAUGUGAGGAGGAAAUUCCUCCAGGGAUCUCACAUCUGGGAGUGACUUGGGAUAAGCUGGAGUGACCAACCAGGGAUCCUCCUGCACAGACUGGGUCUAACGGUGCUUCUGCCCCAGGGGUUGCUUCAGGGAGACACCCCCCCCCUUAGCAAGGCACAAAUCCACUUGGCUUGGCUGCAAAACUUCAUCCACACACAGCAGAAUGUUUAAAAAAGUCACCAGAUAUGUUGUAAGUCAAAUGGAUACAAA